ensembl:lncRNA
ACGAUAACGAAAUAACGCUGAAAACCGAUAAAAACCCUGAAAACUAUACAUUUCACACCUGAGCCUCAACUCUCGCGGCCCGGUACCAAACGACUCACGGACUGGUACCGGUCCGAGGCCCGGGGGUUGGGGACCGCUGCUGUAGGUAGUAUAAUACAAAAAAUGACUUGCUUCACUUUUGUGAAAUAUCAUGUUCAUUUAUUUUCUUUAUUAAAGAAGUGGAGUGGUCCUAUCAGAUACUUUACUUUCACUUUAAUUUGAUGCUUGUUUUCUCUCUUGCUCAGAUCCACCCUUAAUGAUCCAGGUGAUUAGCUGACAGUGACAGUAGUCAAAAUAGUUGUGUUAGAUUGCUACUGUGUGACCUAUUAGACACUUUAUACUGUUAAGCACUUAGCAUAGGACAGUGUAUACUACUGUAGCUGUAACUCUGUGUGUGUGUGUGUGUGUGUGUGUGUGUGUGUGUGUGUGUGUGUGUGUGUGUGUGUGUGUGUGUGUGUGUGUGUGUGUGGCUGAGGCAGUGAAUGGGGUCUGUCUGCAUGGUUUGCUGCUGUGGACAUACUGUACAUUCCAGUACUGUGGUUUUUGUGCCGUAAAGUGCUGUUUUUGACUUCCCUUGUCAUAAUAGUGGCCGUGAAAAUUGUUAGAAAAACUUGGUAAGGGCAGUAAAAAAAAUUACUUAAGUGUAUGUGUUAGGUGAUAAACUGCUGAGUAGUUAUACUUGCUGAAAUCUGGAGCUGUUUGAAACACUUCAUUGUAUUUAAAUGUAAUUCUUUGGUUUUAAAAUGGGAAAGAAAUCUAUUGGACCUUUAUUGGAAAUAACGUGUAAAGACAAGUCUCACAUUUUAGAUAGUAGAUGAUCAUGUUCUGUAUUGCAGUCAAUGCCAGUGACUAUGUAUUGUGAAAUAUUAAUGAAAACUGUCUACAGAAUGUUAUUAUUUUGUAAUUUAUGUGGCAACAAUAGAAGAAAAUAUAUGUGAAGGAUAAAUAUGAAGUAUGGUAGAAAUGAUCAAAUAGGAGACAAUCUAUGCCGCAAAGAUUAUUUUACUGAAAUUCUGUAUUUAUUUUCUUAUUUAACUGUAAAAUGAGCCUAAAUUCUGCUGGCCAGCAAGGGAGCGUUAUUUCUACUGAAACAAUAUUACAGAAUAUUGAUAAUAAUUAUUUUUCUUUUUUUGACAAAUGAUGAUUUCUCCACUUCACAUAUUAGUAAUUUCAUAUCAAAUUCUGCUUUCACUGUCAGACGUGUAGAUUGUUAAGUGUACAGGUGUUCGUAUAAUUGUGAACGAAACUACAACAAUACAGCAAGCCUGUGUGAUCCUGUGUUGGCCUAGGAUGAUGGUUUAUCUCUGAUCGUCUAAUCACAGAAGCAGGAAGUUUGUUAAAGGGUUGCUUGCUUUAUCCUCCAACCAGGAAACUAGUGCAAUACUGUCCAAAGAAAUAAUAUUCUCCCUUUCAAGUUGUCUGUCUGUUUCUUUAAUUGUUUCAUAUUUAAUAUCAUUGUAUUAAAAAAUGUGUAAC